rnacentral:rRNA from 1 species
UCGUAGGAACUGAUCAGCCAUGCCGCGUGCAGGAGAGGCCUUCUGCGUUGUAACUGCUUUACCCAGGGGAUAAAAAGACCUUGCGAGGUUAAUUGAAGGUACCUGAAUAAUAAGCCACGGCUAACUACGUGCCAGCAGCCGCGGUAAUACGUAGGUGGCAAGCGUUGUCCGGAUUUAUUGGGUUUAAAGGGUGCGUAGGCGGCCCUGUAAGUCAGUGCUGAAAUAUCCCGGCUUAACCGGGAGGGUGGCAUUGAUACUGCAGGGCUUGAGUACAGAUGAAGUAGGCGGAAUUGACGGUGUAGCGGUGAAAUGCAUAGAUAUCGUCAAGAACACCGAUAGCGAAGGCAGCUUACUAAACUGUAACUGACGCUGAGGCACGAAAGUGUGGGGAUCAAACAGGAUUAGAUACCCUGGUAGUCCACACUGUAAACGUUGAUGACUCGAUGUUGGCGAUACACAGCCAGCGUCCAAGAGCAAUCGUUAAGUCAUCCACCUGGGGAGUACGCCGGCAACGGUGAAACUCAAAGAAAUUGACGGAAA